rnacentral:rRNA from 1 species
UACGAAGGGGGCUAGCGUUGCUCGGAAUCACUGGGCGUAAAGGGUGCGUAGGCGGGUCUUUAAGUCAGGGGUGAAAUCCUGGAGCUCAACUCCAGAACUGCCUUUGAUACUGAGGAUCUUGAGUUCGGGAGAGGCGAGUGGAACUGCGAGUGUAGAGGUGAAAUUCGUAGAUAUUGGGAAGAACACCGGUGGCGAAGGCGGCUCACUGGCUCGUAACUGACGCUCAUGCACGACAGCGUGGGGAUCAAACAGG